rnacentral:rRNA from 1 species
UACCAACAGAAUAAGCACCGGCUAACUUCGUGCCAGCAGCCGCGGUAAUACGAAGGGUGCAAGCGUUAAUCGGAAUUACUGGGCGUAAAGCGCACGCAGGCGGUCUGUCAAGUCGGAUGUGAAAUCCCCGGGCUCAACCUGGGAACUGCAUUCGAAACUGGCAGGCUAGAGUCUUGUAGAGGGGGGUAGAAUUCCAGGUGUAGCGGUGAAAUGCGUAGAGAUCUGGAGGAAUAC